rnacentral:rRNA from 1 species
UACGAAGGGGGCGAUCGUCGCUCGGAAUGACUGGGCGUAAAGGGCGCGUAGGCGGACCUCGCAGUCGGGCGUGAAAUCCCCGGGCUCAACCCGGGACGUGCGCCCGAAACGCGGGGUCUGGAGUGGGGGAGAGGGUCGCGGAAUUCCCAGUGUAGAGGUGAAAUUCGUAGAUAUUGGGAAGAACACCGGUGGCGAAGGCGGCGACCUGGCCCUUUACUGACGCUGAGGCGCGACAGCGUGGGGAGCAAACAGG